UCGGUGGAAAUUGCUGAAUGAAAGCGC
rnacentral:piRNA from 1 species